rnacentral:rRNA from 1 species
CAGUAGCCGCGGUAAUACGAGGGGGGCAAGCGUUGUUCGGAAUUAUUGGGCGUAAAGGGCGCGUAGGCGGUUUGACAAGUCUGAUGUGAAAUCUCUGGGCUCAACCCAGAGUCUGCAUCGGAAACUGUCGAGCUUGAGUAUGGGAGAGGUGAGUGGAAUUUCCGGUGUAGCGGUGAAAUGCGUAGAUAUCGGAAGGAACACCUGUGGCGAAAGCGGCUCACUGGACCAUUACUGACGCUGAGGCGCGAAAGCUAGGGGAGCAAACAGGAUUAGAUACCCCGGUAGUCCCUGUCUCUUAUAC